rnacentral:rRNA from 1 species
UACGUAGGGUGCAAGCGUUAAUCGGAAUUACUGGGCGUAAAGCGUGCGCAGGCGGCUUUGCAAGACAGAUGUGAAAUCCCCGGGCUCAACCUGGGAAUGGCAUUUGGGACUGCAAGGCUGGAGUACGGCAGAGGAGACUGGAAUUCCUGGUGUAGCAGUGAAAUGCGUAGAUAAUCAGGAGGAAUACCGAUGGCGAAGGCAGGUCUCUGGGCUGAUAC